UGAGCGCUUCUGUCUCUCUGGCGGCUACGCACGGCUGUCGCUCUGGAGAGACUGAGGAGGAAACGGGGGUGGGAGGGGAUUGCGACUGCAGUGGGACGCGGGAGCGGCGGAAGCACCGCGCUGGAGCGGUCCGGUGGCGUCGCCGGGCUUCCUUGCCCUCCCUCCGCCCGGCCGGGCUGGCUCGGAUCCCCGGGUCGAGCGCGCUGCUGCGUCACACCAGGCAGCCAGGCCGCCACUGUUGAGCAUCUCCGGCCGCCUCCCACGCCCGGGCGAGUGCACGGCCCGAGCUCCCGAGCCGAAGCGAAAGAAUGCGAGCUCAGGUUGUUGACGUCCUGUGACGCUGCUGGAUUGCAUUUGUGGGUGACCGUUGCCUGGUUCAGAAAAGAACUUUCACCAUCUUUGCUUUCUAGGUCCCUCCCUGGAGGGCGGAUUAAAGGAUGCCGCGACGAAUCGCAAAAGAACAAAAGCUCUCCAGGGACGCUGACUUCUCAGCUCAGAUCCUGUGAAGCAGAGCUGUGCUGA
rnacentral:lncRNA from 1 species